CCUACGGGAUGCAGCAGUGAGGAAUAUUGGUCAAUGGACGAGAGUCUGAACCAGCCAAGUAGCGUGAAGGAUGACUGCCCUAUGGAUUGUAAACUUCUUUUAUAUGGGAAUAAAAUGUUCCACGUGUGGGAUUUUGUAUGUCCCAUAUGAAUAAGGCUCGGCUAACUCCGUGCCAGCAGCCGCGGUAAUACGGAGGAUCCGAGCGUUAUCCGGAUUUAUUGGGUUUAAAGGGUGCGUAGGUGGAUUGUUAAGUCAGUUGUGAAAGUUUGCGGCUCAACCGUAAAAUUGCAGUUGAAACUGGCAGUCUUGAGUACAGUAGAGGUGGGCGGAAUUCGUGGUGUAGCGGUGAAAUGCUUAGAUAUCACGAAGAACUCCGAUUGCGAAGGCAGUUCACUGGACUGCAACUGACACUGAGGCUCGAAAGUGUGGGUAUCAAACAGGAUUAGAUACCCGAGUAGUC
rnacentral:rRNA from 1 species